GACCGUGCGAAGGUAGCAUAAUCAUUAGUUUUUUAAUUGGAGGCUAGAAUGAAUGGUUGGACAAGAAAUAAUCUGUCUUAAUUAAAUAUAUUGAAUUUAACUUUUAAGUGAAAAGGCUUAAAUAAUUUGAAGGGACGAUAAGACCCUAUAAAACUUUAUAUUUAUAAAUGAUAGUUAAUUUUAUUUUAAAAUAUUAUUUUAAAAUAUUUGGUUGGGGUGACAAGGAUAAAAUAAAAAAUAAUUGUCUUUUUUUUUUACAGUAAUAUUUGGUUUAAUGAUCCUAAAAAGGAUUAGAAGAUUAAGUUACUUUAGGGAUAACAGCGUAAUUUUCUUUGAAAGUUCUUAUUAACAAGAAAGUUUGCGACCUCGAUGUUGAAUUAAAAGUUCUUUAUAGAGUAGAAACUAUAACAGAAGGUCUGUCGACCCUUUAAAAUUUUACAUGAUUUGAGUUCAGACCGGUGUAAGCCAGGUUGGUUUCUAUCU
rnacentral:rRNA from 1 species